rnacentral:lncRNA from 1 species
AAAGGCAGAGAGGGUGUGCGCCAGCCCCAGCCGCCCACGAACCGCUGGGAGCAGACCCCUCUCUCUGGCCUGGAGGGGACACGGUGCCACUGACUUGAGCCUGGAACCAAAGGGCGGGGUACCCAUGCACCCCUGUGCUGAGAGAUUCGCUGAGAGCCGCGCAGAGGGCCCCAGAGUCCAAACAGGACACCCAGGAUUGAGGCGAGGUUAGGAAACGCACAGUACCUGAGGUCCUCACUUUCAGGGCUCCCUGAGUGAUGAAAGGGGGGCUGGGAGAAGGCAGAGGCUGCCCGGGAGAGAAGAGCAGCUUUGGGGGGUUCUGGGUCCCCGCACCCCACCCCGCACUAACCAACUCCCCCAGCCCCAGAUAGAAGGGGAGCUGGGCAGGUUCUGGGGGGUCAGCCCCAGGCAGGACCGCUCCCCAACACCCUUCCCUUGGUUACCCUCAGGUAUGGAGUCCAGAGUGGAGUCAGCCAUGCUCAGACCUUGACCCCCUUUUUUUAAAUUUAAUUUUUAGUAGAGAUAGGGGGUCUCACUAUGUUGCCCAGGCUAGCCUCAAACUCCCAAUCUCAAGCGAUCCUCCCCCCUUGGCUUCCAAAGUGCUGAGAUUACGGAUCUGAGCCUCCACGCCUGCCCUGAGCCUCGCCCUGCGGCUGCCUGGGCUCCUCCCCGCCUCCGCCCCGGACCACCAGGGGGCGCUGUGAAGCCUGAGACUGGCCGGGCUUCACCUUGGACCCGCCAGGAGUCCCUGCAGGAGUUGGGAGCCCCGCCAGCCACAGCUACUUCCCCGACCCUCCCGGCUUCCCACCGCUGAUUGGACCAGGCAUGGGCAUCUGACUGAGGGGAGCCUAUCCAUAGGCUGGCCAGUGAUCUAUCAGGGCUGGCCUAGUGAGAACACGGCCAAUCAGAUGCUUUCCUGGAACCCGGGGCCAAAGCUGCCCCAGGGGAGUGUGGUAGCCGCAGGCAGAAGGGCUAGCCCGGAGACAGGAGGGGGAGGUCCGAGGAGGGGAUCCCGGCGAGGGAGACGCGGGGCGAGUGGCCUGGGCUCCUCCUUGGCUUGACCCAGCUUAGACUUUCUCAAACCGAAGUCAUUCUCGCUGGCUCCUGGCGACUCUCAUCCUGUCCGCUGUCACCCUUUCGUGAUUGACCUGAAAUCACUUCGUCACUGCAGCCGCACCCUAAGCAUUCAUCUCAUAUCUGUGAUGUUUGCUGUGCUCCUUAUGUUUGCUCUAAUAUGGGUUAAACCAAAUUCAACACCAUCAAAAUAAUGUUCUUCCAUUUGCACACCCACUUUCACAGUAGCAGCGUUCCCAACAGCCAAAAGGUGGGAGCAGCCCACGGGUCCACGGACGGGUGAAGGGGUGAGCAAACAGUCUAUACGGACAGUGGAGAGCUCUUUAACCGCAGAAAGAAGGAAAUUCUGCAUAUGCUGCAACAUGGAUGAAAGACACAGAGUCUGGCUCUGGGGCCCAGGCUUGAGUGCAGUGGUGAGACGGGAGAAUAAGUCCUAGAGGAAGGGAACCUGAGGACUUCCCAGAACUAAAUCAGAUGGAGAGGAGAGAGGAGGCAUUUCAGCUACGACAGGAAAUAUCCUCUUCAUUUGCAUAGGGCGUUCACCAAGGUGCACACCAAAUAACCAAUGGAAACCUCUAGAGAGUAUUUAAACUCCAGAAAAUUCUGUGACGGGCUCUUGAGCCAACGUGCUCCGGCCGCUCCCACUCUGUGCAGUCGACUGUACUUUUGUUUUCAAUAAAACUCUGCUUUUGUUUCUUCA